CCUCGGACUCGGUCUCGCCCAGGAACCUGGUCACGUCGUCCAGCACCACGUCGACGGGGUACGUGGCCAGGACGCCGUGGCAUACGCGGCGCCCCUUCUGGACGCGCACGUCGAGGACGCGCGCGCCCAGCGCCAGCUGCUCGUACACGGACAGCGACUGGCACUGCGCGAAGGGGCGGGUCACGAACGGCACGCCGAUCCGGUCGGUGGCCGAGUCGUGCGUGCCGGGCCACACCACCUGGUGCACGCGCAGCCUGCCGGCGCCCAGCUCCGCCAUCCACCGCUUCCGGUCCGCCGGCCGGUGCUCAGACCCCGGGAACGUGUCGCCCGACGACGACAGCCGCGUCGCCAGCGCCCGCUUCUCGGCGGCCACCAGCUUCCGCCGGUCCACCUGCUUCGAGAAGAAGGCGCCCAUGGCUUCGUCCACCGGGUUGGUGGCUGCCGUUGUUGCCAGCGCUGCUGCUAUUGGGGGGCAGCCAUGGAUGGAUAAAUAAAGGGUCCUGUGCCUCGAGCUCUGACCUGGACCUGGACGUCGAGAUUGAUUGAUAGCUGCUAGCUAGCAACACAAACAAGGAAGAAAAAUAUCAAUGCGUGUGAUUAGCCAACAACAUGCAUGCUCGGGCGCUCGGCUGAUCGAGCCCUAGCGGUGAGGAGGAAGGAAGGGACGGACGGCGUGUUCUUGUCACCUCCGCUGCGGUUUCUCCCAAAAAGACUUCGGUUUCCUUGGAUUGGAAUUGGAUGCUACGAUUGGCGUUAUGGUGUUGAUGCCAGGCCAGGCGACAGUUUUUUUUCCCUUCCCAAAAUCACUACUACUAGAGAGAGGUUAACUGGUUCGUUCGGGGCAUGGGCGGGGUAGUUUUUAUUUAUUUAUUUAUGGCGAGACGGUGACGGAAUCGAGUCCACAAGCCAAAAGGACACGGUUUAUGCCAUUAUGGACGGACACGCGAUGCCAUUGGCGACCUGGAGAGGUGAAGGUUCUUCCAGUUCCAUGUUGGCGCAAUAAUUUGUCAAGCAAAUGCAGCAAACUUUUGUUGCCGCAGAGUAGCCACGACGACGUAAAUGCAUGCAAAUAUAUGAGCACUAUUUUUAUAUUACUAAGAAUAGUGUUAAACAUAUCAAUAAACCUAGAUGUUCUAUAAAAAGGAAGUUUAGAUUUAACAAUUAAACUUUAAAACUAUAUUAUGAGACGGGGGUAGUUUUUAUACUAAUGGUUGAAGUUUUUGAAAAAAGAACAACCAGUGCUAUUCUACGAAUUGCUUGGAAACCGACGUUAUUUUCUUAACGUCUUCUCAAACCAGUGUUGUUUUGUGAAUUCUCUCUGUGGGACUCAGGAAGCCUGAAUAUCAUAAGACGUUUGAUUUUUUAAAAAGAAAAUGUAUUGUUUCAAUCAUAUAUCUAGACAUAGCGUAUUUCGCAAAGGGCGAGAGUAUUAUUCAAUAUUGAGAUAUCGUCCAAGAAAGAAAUGUUGUGGAUUACGGCGUUAGGGGCCUGUGCAGCGUUCUCAGAGUUGAGAGCUCGCGCGUCACCUUCACCAUGGGUGCUCUGGGUGUUGGUAAUAAGGUCGCAUGUCCAUGGUGUCUGCACUGCACCUAGCACGAAAUGCCCUGUCGGUCAUCGGGUGUUGCGCCCUCUUGGCCUCAUUCUCCUUCGCCGACGAUGAUGGUCGAGGCAAGGUGGAUUAAUUUGGUCACCGUACCGGACCAGGGCACAACGAGGUGGCGUGGUGCAGCCCGGUGCGGUGCCGACGACAAGUGCACAUGGAAGCAAGGAUCCUCGUGGACAUGGUGGACCUCUGGAUGGAAACAAGACCGUCGGCUUGACAUGUCCUUGCUAGUUUCAUCACUGCUU
rnacentral:lncRNA from 1 species